UAACGUGACAUCACACAAACACAGAGAGAGAAAGAGAGGCAGAGUGAGAUUUAAGAACCAGUUAAACAUGAUUCAAUAACAUUUUAAACAAUAAGAAUAAAAUCUAUAUUGACAGAAAUUAGUCUUUGAUGAUCUCUUAAUAUAUACAUUGUUAUACUUACUUAAAGGCGUUUAUAGAAAAGUCAUCAUUAGCAGUUAAAACUGUUAUUUGUCCAGAUUAAUUUAUCUUAAGGUCUUAUACGUUAUUAUUAACUAAAUUAUUAAACUAAUUAUAUAAUACUGCAGAAGAUUGAAGAUUCGCUUCCGGGUCGAGAACACUGUGUGAGUCUGUGUUGCCGCUUCGCACCUGGACUGUUUGUAUGUUUUUGCCAGGGCCGGCGAUUGCUAUAGGCGAACUAGGUGGUUGCCUAGGGCGACAAAUAUGUUGGGGGAGCGGGCGCUUGCGCCCUCUAGGGUCUCCUUUAUGUUACGUUACGUUAGGCAAGUGCGCAGUUGAUGAAGAAAAUGAAGCGGUCUAAUAAACCCUCCGGUGCACAGGGAUGAAAACGGAGAAAGGAAGAAGAUAAAAGGAAAACCCAGUAUAGAGAUGCACUCAGGCAAUAUUUGCAGAGGCCGGCACCUGCUGGAGAAAGGACACCUGAUCCUUCAUGUUCUCCUCUCUCUGAACUUUCUGCAGGAGUAGGGACAUCCAGUAGUGGUACUCCAGGGACCAGUGACACACAGGCCAGGAACACACAGCCUGCAUCAAGUGAAGGUGAAGGGACACCCAGGACCACAUCAAGCACUCAGGGCACCAGUCAAAGACAGACGACUGAGACCAGGGACACGCAGCCUGAAGGAAGUUAGUCCUUUGAAUAACUAAUUCAAGCUUACAACCAUCUGACAAUAUGUACUAGAAGAUAAUGAAAACACAUGGAAAUCACAAUAACAUCCCAUCCCUAUGAAUCUAAUUUCAACCACAGUUUUAGGGGGGCGCAAAACUCAAUCUCGCCUAGGGCAACCAAAGGGCUAGAGCCGGCCUUGGUUUUUGCUACAUGUUUCUCCACUGUACUGUUUGGAUUAUUUUUGUCAGUAUUCUGUCUGGAUUACUUAAUUUCUUGCUGCUGAUCUUUGAACUGGACUAUUGUCAUUAUCAAACUCCUGUUGUCUGUGAGCUUGCCGCCGGGCUGCUGUGAGCCUUCUACCCGUUAAUGUCUCCACCACGUUCGGCUCUUCUGAUGGGUGAGUUACCCCUCUCUCAGUCGGUAGCGCUGUUCGUUUAAUCGCUUGCUAUCUGGGUGUGUUAUCUCCUAUUUAGUUUGCUGUUUUUGGUGAAGUGGCGCUCAGGGUCUGGCUAACGUGGUUUUUGCCUAUGAUUGGCUCGCAUUUGAUCAGUACUAACACGCCUUGGGCAAAACUUUUUCUUUUUUCUUCUCUUAUCUGCCUCAUCUUUUUCACUUCCAAAAUGGAUAUUGGAUAUUUACCAUCGCAGCUAAGGGCCUUGAAUUGCCACCCGCAUCUCGAUUCUGUGACAUAUGAAUGCUGCCGGAGUCUAGGGAUUCUUGGGUGCCCUCGAUACAUACACCAUUGCAUAACCUGAUAUUGCUGAGUUCAUAUUGAGGAUGUUCCUGGUUCAACAUUUUUGUUGAUCCUGGAACAACAUUCAAAUCUACCAAUCAGAUUUCAGGGACAA